rnacentral:lncRNA from 10 species
AAAAAAAUUAGCUGUGCGUGGUGGCGGGCGCCUGUAGUUCCAGCUGCUCUGGAGACUGAGGGAGGAGAAUGGCGUGAACCCGGGAGGCGGAGCUUGCAGUGAGCCGAGAUCGCGCCACUGCACUCCAGUGAGAUUCCGUCUCAAAAAAAAAACAAAAACAAAAACAAAACAACAAAAACAAAUGCAAAAGAUAGUGAGUUCUUAUGAGACCUGGUUGUUUAAAACUGCGUAGCACCUCCCCGCCCUUCCUCCUCCAGCCACAAGUGCCUCACCCCCCUUUGCCUUCCGCCAUGAAUAUGUUUCCUGAGGCCUCCCUAGAAGUUGAUGCUGCCAUGGUUCCUGUACAGCCUGCGGAGACGUCAUUAUUACAAUGAAGGGAAGAAAGGAAGACAUGAAGGGGAAAUGGGACUAUUUACCAAGUGUAUCUGCAUAGACUAAAGGAGACAAGAGGAAGUACUGAGCACCUUGAUUCCUGCAGAUAAUUAUUUAAGAACCAUAAGAAUUCUUUCCUAGCUUCUCAUAAGCCUGCUCCUUCAAAGGGUUAACUGCAGUGAAUCAAACUAUUGGAUUAUAAUUCCAUGAAGUAAGUUUAUUGAAGACAAACAGGCCUUGGGCCGCUGCCUCUGUCUCUCCUGCCUUCCCCACUGAAUCUCCAGCCCACAUUCACAAACAAAGACAAACCUGUGUAAACUGAAGCACCACAAAACUACUUUUAUGAAAGCAGAAUGGAAGCCUCCUUGGUAUAACCACGCAUUUACGGAAGAUGACGUUACCAGCAGCCCUGGGGCGCAGUCAACAGCAGUGGAAGAGCUGGCUCAUGUGUGGCUCAGGCUGACUCCACAAUCAGAGUGAUUAUGUGGAAAUCAAUCAGAAUUUUCUUCUUAGAAGAUGUUUGUUCUGACAUAAUGACUGACUUUCCAGCUAAUUUUUAUUCAUAGGCUUCUCCUUGCACAAUGAUCUCUAUUUCUCUCAAUGUUAUUCUGUGUCUUUCUUGCUUGCCUGCACAUUCUGAAAAAAAAAGGAAAGCAAUUCCCUACAUUUUAUUUUGAUACUUAAUGUUGUUUGCUAACAUAUUCAGAACACAAUGCAACUUUAUAUAUUAGAGCACUUAUAAUAUAUAUUAGGAAAACAUCAAUUAGGUACCACCAGUUAUUUUAGACAGGUAUCUCUUAGGUAAAAUGUGGUGAAAAUAGAGGGGCAAUGAUAGAAUUCAUAUGUGAAAGAGUCAAUUGGCCAUCAUUAUGCCAAAAUUAUUUUGUGGUUCAGGGGACAUUUUAAACUUUAAUUUUUAAGAAUUAAACUUUAAUUAAAUUUAUUGUAGUUUAAAUGCAAUCACAAGGAAAGACUCUGAACUGGAAACACCAAGCCAAGCUCUUUCCUAGUUCUGGUCCCCUAUAAACCCUGAAAGUUAAUGCAAUUAUUGUAAUUUUUAAACCACCGAGUUCUCAGGGUGAUUAGUUAUGCAGCAAUAGAUAGCCUGAAAAGGACCAUUCUUUCUGGCACUGAAAAUUAAGAAGAGUGAUUAACAACAUAAGAAUGUAGUUUGUGCUGUCUGCCACAGAUUUAUGUUGUAGCUUCAGUGAUUGCUUCAAAGCACCCUUACUAAUUGCCAGCCUAUUGCUGAUACCUAGCUAAAUUAGCAUGUGUUAGUUUUGAUACCACUAUAGGCAUUUAAAGGAUAGCUGAUACAUUCUAUAUAAAAUAUAAUUAUUUUCCUAUCUUUAGUUUAUCCUAAAGUAGCAGCUAUUAUAUUCGCUUCUUGAUUAGCUUUAUACAUAACCAGAGAAAGUAAAAUAUCACAGAGUAUAUUUGAAGACAUAAAAGUCUUUGGACAAAGCUCAAGUAAUGAAUCAGGAUGCUAUUACAUCCUCCACAUGACAGUAAAUAUAUUUUAUAUUCCUAAAUUUUAAGCUUUUAACAAAAGCAAAUUUUAUACUGGACUAUUUCAAUUUCUAGGGAAAGGAAAUUAUCAUUUACUGUCUUUGAGGCUAUAAUCUAUUUAGCCAUUAUUUUUAUAUUGAUCAAUUUAUAAUAAAGGUAAGAGAAAAUACUACCACAUAUAUGUUGUUUAUAUAAUUUUAACUUUCAUAAUUAAAAUACUGGGUAUACUGCAAGAUGUCAAUAUUUAUAAUAGCUUAUAUUUGGAAACAAUUAUACUUUAUAUACUCCUAAUCCAUUGCCUUGUGUGUCAUUGAAGAAAUUGAAGUUCACAAUAAUGACUGAACAAAUGCUCAAAGCUGGUCUGUGGCAGAACCAAAAAUUUCCAUGGCACCUUUCUCUUUCCAUAUUGGGGUGAUCUGCCUAAUUUGACUUUCUGCUUAUAUGUCUAGACUCUACCCCUCAUUCCUUCUGCUAGUGUGUUGUUGAACCCUUUCUAUUAACCCACUCUCGAUUUUUCUGUUGCACAAUCAAUCUGUAGCCUGAAUGUUGAGUCCCAAAUGCAUGAGCUACCUGGCCGAGUAAUCUAACUAGAUUAGCCUGAGUAUAUCACUUUAAGGCCAAUGUAAAGUUAUGUUGUAACUACCUCAUAGUUUUGCAGAGGCAAGAAAUAGAAGUUAAGGAAGAGAAGAAGCCAAUCUUGAAUCAGUUAGAAUUUCCUUGGACAUAGAAAAUCUCUACAAGCAAAAACCCAUUUGAUUGAACAAGCAAGCUUAUGCAGUUAAAUAUAUCAAAGAUCUUGUCACAAAAAGUGUAAAGGGAAAGUAAAAUAAGGAGGGAGCAUGAAGAAGCCAGCUUAUAUUAAAGAUUCAAAGCAGGGAUAUAAGGAAAUUCAAGCCAAAAAUAAGGAAGAAUUCUUAUAAAUGCCCCAAGAAUGAAUUCGAUGUUUGGUCGAUAUUCCAACAGAUUUAGUAAUGCUAUUUUUAAAGUCAACAGGCUGCCCAUUUUUGCCUCACACUCUGACUGCAUGUAAUCUGUCAAGUACUCUGAUGAGUUCUGGAGAUGCUAAUGCAAAAAAGAUAUAAAAUCCUUACCUUGAAAAUGUAGUUCACAAUUUAGCCAUGGAGUUAUGGCAAGCAUCUUGUCUUCAAUUUUAGCCCCUCCUCCAUCCCUCUCCCAGACACCCAUUGUCCUCUUUCUCACCACAUCCACCCCCUUUUUUGUCCUGUCUUUGGUGCACUAUUUAUAAUUCUUCUCAUGUCUACCACAACUAUUUUGGGUAGUAAGAACAUCAGUAUGGAGACCCCUUAAUCCUAACUAAUAUCAACUCUAUCUGUUUGGUAUUAAUUCUUGUUUAUUGAACUUGAGGCAUUGAGUACUACAAAAAUUAUAAUACACUACUGGUGAACAUUACUUUAUUAAUGAUUAGGUUCCACUUGGAUGUUUGUCAUUCGUAUGUAGCUGUUCUCUCCUUGUAGCCUGUAAACUUUCUAUGGAUGUCACAAAAAGAGUUUUAAGGAUUUUGCUUAAAUUAAAAUUAAUACAUCAAGAAAAUACUAUGCCUCAAACAAAAAAUAAUCAGUUAAUUUAGUUUUUAGAAAUCUUUUACAAAAAACGUGAUAUUUAAUAAUCUUUAUGCAAGGAUUUUUGGGAUAUUAAAAUUGUCACAGAUUUAAUAAUACGUUUUAUUGUAUAAAAUUUUUCUUUUCUCUUCAAAGUGUUGGGAGAGUGAAUUCUCUAAGUAAAAACUGAAGAGUAAGAUGUUAUCAUUAAACAUUUCAGAAAAUGCACACUAUCGUAGACUGCGCACUGUGAAAAUGAUCAGCUAGUAGAGGUUUUGGUGAACAUAUAGUAACUUUUAUCAACAAGUAAUGUGAAUAUGUGAAAUCUAUUGCUUUUCCAAAAGAAAGAAACUUUUACACUUCUUGGUAAAGAUAAACUUUCAUGUAAGAAAAAAUAAAAACAUAAUUUUAGCAAUCCAAACCAUACUAAAAUCAUAAACACUUGACCACAUGUUUGAGUACC